UAACGAUUCUUGUUAUUCAUAUAUCUUGUGAUGUGACGUGCUGUGUCUAACAUAAACAUAACUUUAUAUUCAAUCAGUCGUGAUUAGUAGUUUCAAGACAACUAUGAGUGCUAAAUUUACUUGUAUCAACUGUCGUGUUGCAUUUACUGACGCAGAUGUACAACGCCAACAUUAUAAAACUGAUUGGCAUCGUUAUAACCUCAAAAGAAAAGUUGCUGAUCUUCCUCCUGUGUCUGCUGAAGAAUUUCAAAGACGUGUUAUUUCUCAGCGAGAACACGAUGAAGCUCUUGGAAAGGACAGUUCAAUUCAUUGCAAGGUUUGUCGUAAGACAUUCAAUUCGUCUAAGUCAUUUGAAAAUCACUUGAAGUCAAAGAAGCAUAUAACCCUAGUAGAUAGUCUGCCAGAAGGAACCAACUCUUUAGACCAAAUAUCUUCACCUGGAAAUAGCAGCAUCAGAUCAUCCGCUUCCAAUAGUGUUACUAAGCUUAACACUUCUAAAUCUGGUACCAUAACCUCGGAUGAUGAUGACUCUGACAUUGAAGAAGUUGAUUCAGAUGAAUGGGAUGAAGAAUUCAGUGAUGACAAUCCGAUUCUACACAACAAUUGUCUCUUUUGCAACCAUCAUAGUGCUGCCUUAAUGAAGAACAUGAAACAUAUGUCAGUCGCACAUUCUUUUUUUAUCCCGGAUAUUGAAUUUGUAACAGAUUUAAAAGGUUUAUUGUGCUAUUUGGGUGAAAAGAUUACCCAAGGGUACUUGUGUAUAUGGUGCAAUGAUUCUGGGAAAGCAUUUCACUCAGCUGAAUCAGCACAGCAACACAUGAUGGACAAAGGGCACUGUAAAAUGUUGCACGAAGGAGAAACUUUGCUUGAGUAUUCCGAUUACUACGACUACAGAUCUAGUUAUCCUGAAGAAUUUGUAAAUGCAGAGAAUGAUGAUGAGGAAGUCGAAACGUCUGUUAUUGAAGCUGAAGAUUAUCAACUCGUCCUUCCUUCUGGUGCUAUUAUUGGUCAUCGAUCAUUAAUGCGAUAUUACAGGCAAAACUUCGAUCCAAACCGGGUGGUUGUUCCUGCACAGAAGAAGGUUCAUCGAGUGAUUGCCCAGUACAAGGCUCUUGGAUGGAAUGAGACAGACAAAAAAGUCAUCGCCAAGAAAGUCCGAGAUUUAAAGUACAUGCAACGAGUCCAGUCAAAGUACACUAUGAAGCUAGGAAUGAAAGCAAACAUUUUGAGCAUCAAACGACCUCAAGUAAAUUUCUAAUCAAAGGAAGAUUGUGGACAGUUCCCUAACUACUGGCAAAACUUCGAUCCAAACCGGGUGGUUGUUCCUGCACAGAAGAAGGUUCAUCGAGUGAUUGCCCAGUACAAGGCUCUUGGAUGGAAUGAGACAGACAAAAAAGUCAUCGCCAAGAAAGUCCGAGAUUUAAAGUACAUGCAACGAGUCCAGUCAAAGUACACAAUGAAGCUUGGAAUGAAAGCAAACAUUUUGAGCAUCAAACGACCUCAAGUAAAUUUCUAAUCAAGGAAGAUUGUGAAGUCCCUAACUACUGGUACAGUAUGUUUCAUUUUAGGAAUUAUGUUUUGUAUAUUGUGUUAUUAUCAAAAUAUAUUCUGUUUACUAGA